rnacentral:rRNA from 1 species
GACGAACGCUGUCGGUGUGCCUAACACAUGCAAGUUGAACGCUCUAGUUUGGUCCUUGUACCAUCUGUUAGUGCCGCGCGCGUGUGUGUCACGCGUGGAUCUUCCCCCUUUUACCGGUUAACUUCUUGUAGUAACAGCUACUACCAUCUCUUAUCAACUUUAAACACAUUUUUGACUGAUGAAUGAUCCCAUGUCAGAUCACAUAGGUGGUGAGGUAACGUAUUAGCAAGCUGACGAUCUGUAGCUGGACUGAGAGGAUGAUCAGCAACACUGGGACUGAGACACGGCCGAGACUCAUACGGGAGGAAGAAGUGGGGAAUAUUGGACAAUGGGCGAAAGACUGAGCCAGCAAUACCGAGUGAGUGAUAAAGGAGAUAGGGUUGUAAAGCUGUUUUAGCAAGGAAGAUAAUGACGGUACUUGCAGAAAAAGCCCCGGCUAACUCCGUG